CAAAUGGCAGGCAACUAAAAUGAUAUAACCUUCCCACUGUGAACUACUGGCAUCUUACUUUUUGACCCCUUGACAAGAAGAACUGGAGUUACCAAAAUGCUGUCAUUUAAGGUGUUGGAGUGGAAACCAGAACAUUACCUAUUAUCAAGAAGGGGUUUCUUCUAAGGCAUUCAGGGCACUCAGAAACAUACAUCUAAGGAAAGAUUCACUUAAAAACCAGCCAAGACACAGUCAUAUAAUUGGGAUCUCCAGGGCCCUGAGUAAAGACAGUCUCCUCCCACUUCAUCGUCGGUAAAUCAAACUCUCCACAGAUGGUAAUAAAUUUAAUAAAAUAAUGUCGUUUCAUUGCAACAAAUACCACAUAGAGGAAAAGAUGGCUUUCAAAUGGAUUAUUUUUUCCAGGGCAUUUCCAGGUUUUCCUGUGAGUUUCUUGCACCUACAGAGCCUGGCCAAAUACUACAAUCCUGAAGGCCCAGAAACACUGGGAAUGCACAAGGGAGUUCGACUAAACAUGAGGCUCUGCGCCUUCUCACUCGUCUUCAGAAUAGUUUGUGGAAAGUCCCCUUGCCCUCUGCCCCAGCUCGGGUAUGCCACCUGCCCUCAGUCCAGCCUUGGUGGCCUCAACCAAAUUUAGAUGCGUAAUGCCACGUGCGGUUAAUGGAUGGUACCAAAAGGGCGCGCGGCUUCUAUCUCCGCCAGCGCCGCUUUGUUACCUCUGACAACCACUCGAGGCUGGGAAGAGACCUGUGUCGUUUCCACUCAGCUCCAGCCCAGCAACUAAGUACAUUCAUACUAGGGACAUCAAUCUCAGAUGCCAAAGCCUGGAGAUUUGCAUUGCAAAUAGGCGAACGUGGUGACAUUUCACCACUGGGAGCAGAACCUGAGGCAUCUUCCUCUGUGAGAGCUAUGGGGGGGGAAUCCACUUUGUAGUCAAAUUGAGUGCAGAAGGAAGGCAAGAGGGAGGGCAGAAAUUGGACCACUCUAAUUUUGAACGACAGAAAGAAUAUUGAUUUUUGAAAUAUUGUGGUCACUUUUUUUUUUUCCCAAACCAUGGGCUUUUCCUCCAGUACUGAGAUCAGCUUUCUGCAUUUCCGCUUCCAACCCAUAAACCCAUAGCUGAGGCCCAGCUUGUGUAUAUGUAUCCUAUGGACUGCCUUUUCCUGACCCGUGUCUUCUGGAAGGGUUUACUUAAUUAUUUUUUUCAAUUCUUAUGUCCCAUUCAGAUGUCUCACUUCUGUAAUUCUCUAUCAUUUAAAAUCUUUAACAAGGAUUCUUAUACAAAAUGGUGAUAAACAUAGAAUACUUUUAUUUGAGCAUUAAAUAAGUUACUGUAUAGAAAGGGUUUUGUGCUUGAUGCGUCUUAGCUAUUAUUGUCUUGUUAUUUUGUUAGGGCAGUUAUUUUUCUAGGAGGCAGUGUUGGGGGUGGAGAACCUGGUUUUGACAUAGAAAGAUCCGGGUACCAGGCCGGGCGCGGUGGCUCACAUCUGUAAUCCCAGCACUUUGGGAUGCUGAGGCGGGCAGAUCACGAGGUCAAGAGAUCGACACCAUCCUGGCCAACAUGGUGAAACCCUGUCUCUACUAAAAAUACAAAUAUUAGCUGGGCAUUGUGGCGCAUACCUAUAGUCCCAGCUACUCAGGAGGCUGAGGCAGGAGAAUCGUUUGAACUCAGGAGGUGGAGGUUGCAGUGAGCUGAGACUGCGCCACUGCACUCCAGCCUGGUGACAGAGCGAGACUCUGUCAAAAAAAAAUAAAAAGAGAAAGAAAGGAAGGAAGGAAGAAGGGAGGGAAGGAGGGAGAAAGGAAGAAAGGAAGAAAGGAGGAAAGGAAGAUCUGGGUACGAAUCUUUACUACUCUCCCAAGUUUAUGACUUGACUUCAGACAAGUUACUUAACAUCUACAACUGGAGUAUGCAAAUAU
rnacentral:lncRNA from 1 species